AACGAACGCUGGCGGCAUGCCUAACACAUGCAAGUCGAACGAGACCUUCCUGCCUAGUUGCGCACGGGUGCGUAACGCGUGGGAACCUGCCCUUAGGUUCCGUAUCACUCCCCGAAAGGGGUGCUAAUACCGCUUAAUCUCUUCGGACCAAAGAUGUAUCGACUUUGGGUGGGGCCGCGUUAGAUUAGCUAGUUGGUAGUGUAAAAGCCUAUCAAGGCGACGAUCCAUAGCUGGUCUGAGAGGAGGACCAGCCACACUGGAACUGAGACACGGCCCAGACUGCGACGGGAGGGAGGAGUAGGGAAUAUUAGAGGAGGAGGGAAAACCUAGUCAAGCAAUGCGGCGUAAGAGAGGAAGGCGUUAGGGUUGUAAAGCUCUCUUAGCCGAGGUGAUAAUGACAGUACCGGGAGAAGAAGCACCGGCUAACUACGUG
rnacentral:rRNA from 1 species